CCUGAGCCAGGUUGGAUGGCCCCCCCCGACCCCCGCCCCCGCAGUCCCCAGGAAGGACUCUGGGCCAAUGUGGGUCUCCCCAGCUCCAGGGGUCUUCCCUGGGCGGUUUCCGUAAGCGUGUGUUCCUGGGCCUGUGCGUGCCCUCCGCUGGCCGCCACUCCCCCCCGCACCGUGGAAGCUACUGAGGGCAGCAGAAGUGAGAGUGAGGGCCUGUCUGAUGUGAACCUUGAAGCUUGGGGCUGCAUGACCCUGAGCGCCGGAGUCGGGGAGACCGAGGGAGCAGGCUCUGCUAGGGUGGCCUUCUCAGGAAGACCUGAGCCCCCUUCUGCUGGAGAGGCUCCUAAGGCCUCGAUUUGUGCUCAACCUGGUCCGAAAACGUCAGUGCCUGGAGGCGUCGCACCCGCUCUGGGGAACCAGCACGUGCCGCCUGGGCCACUGCGCAUGCGGAGCCAGUCGCGAGCCGCGCGCCUGGUGACGUCACCCCUCCGCGAACGGGAGCGCGCGCCGUUCUCCCUCCGGCCGCCAGGGGGCGGCUCCGGCGCCUUCUCGCUGCUGACGGCGCAUGCGCCCACGGUGAGCUUCUGCGUCUCCAACAUUUUCCGGGCCCUUGCGGCGUCCUCCUCGGUCCAGGUUGUGCUUCCGGUGCGAAGGUCACGGACAAGAUGGUUCCGCCAGUGCAGGUUUCUCCGCUCAUCAAGCUCGGCCGUUACUCCGCCUUGUUCCUCGGCGUGGCCUACGGAGCCAAGCGCUACAAUUACCUGAAACCCCGGGCAGAGGAGGAGAGGAGGAUAGCAGCUGAGGAGAAAAAGAAGCAGGAUGAGCAGAGACGCAUUGAGAGAGAGCUGGCAGAAGCCCGAGAGGACAGCAUAUUAAAGUGAGCCUGCCUUUCCCCGGAGCAGUGUGGGUGAAUAAAGCCUCCUGUACUGUG